AUUGAACGCUGGCGGCAGGCCUAACACAUGCAAGUCGAGCGAGCGUCGGACGGGUGUGUAAUGUAUGGGGACUUCCCGAUUGAGGGGGAUAACUACCGGAAACGGUAGCUAAUACCCCAUACUAUCUGAUAACCCCAAUGGGGUUGGCUUGUGGGUGAGGUAAUGGCUAACCUAGGCGACGAGCCCUAGCUGGUCUGAGAGGAUGAUCAGCCACACUGGGACGGAGACACGGCCCAGACUCCUACGGAGGCAGCAGUGGGGAAUAUUGCACAAUGGGCGAAAGCCUGAUGCAGCCAUGCCGCGUGUAUGAAGAAGGCCCUAGGGUUGUAAAGUACUUUCAGUCGGGAGGCGUUACCGACAGAAGAAGCACCGGCUAACUCCGUGCCAGCAGCCGCGGUAAUUC
rnacentral:rRNA from 1 species